rnacentral:rRNA from 1 species
GGGAACUCAAAGGAGACUGCCGGUGAUAAACCGGAGGAAGGUGGGGAUGACGUCAAGUCAUCAUGGCCCUUACGAGUAGGGCUACACACGUGCUACAAUGGCAGAUACAAAGAGAAGCGACCUCGCGAGAGCAAGCGGAACUCAUAAAGUCUGUCGUAGUCCGGAUUGGAGUCUGCAACUCGACUCCAUGAAGUCGGAAUCGCUAGUAAUCGUAGAUCAGAAUGCUACGGUGAAUACGUUCCCGGGCCUUGUACACACCGCCCGUCACACCAUGGGAGUGGGUUGCAAAAGAAGUAGGUAGCUUAACCUUCGGGAGGGCGCUUACCACUUUGUGAUUCAUGACUGGGGUGAAGUCGUAACAAGGUAACCGUAGGGGAACCUGCGGUUGGAUCACCUCCUUACCUAAGAGA